rnacentral:rRNA from 1 species
CUGCGUGCUACACAUGCAGUCGACGAUGAACCGCUUCGGUGGUGGAUUAGUGGCGAACGGGUGAGUAACACGUGGGCAAUCUGCCCUUCACUCUGGGACAAGCCCUGGAAACGGGGUCUAAUACCGGAUAACACUCCUGCCUGCAUGGGUGGGGGUUGAAAGCUCCGGCGGUGAAGGAUGAGCCCGCGGCCUAUCAGCUUGUUGGUGGGGUAAUGGCCUACCAAGGCGACGACGGGUAGCCGGCCUGAGAGGGCGACCGGCCACACUGGGACUGAGACACGGCCCAGACUCCUACGGGAGGCAGCAGUGGGGAAUAUUGCACAAUGGGCGAAAGCCUGAUGCAGCGACGCCGCGUGAGGGAUGACGGCCUUCGGGUUGUAAACCUCUUUCAGCAGGGAAGAAGCGCAAGUGACGGUACCUGCAGAAGAAGCGCCGGCUAACUACGUGCCAGCAGCCGCGGUAAUACGUAGGGCGCAAGCGUUGUCCGGAAUUAUUGGGCGUAAAGAGCUCGUAGGCGGCUUGUCACGUCGGAUGUGAAAGCCCGGGGCUUAACCCCGGGUCUGCAUUCGAUACGGGCUAGCUAGAGUGUGGUAGGGGAGAUCGGAAUUCCUGGUGUAGCGGUGAAAUGCGCAGAUAUCAGGAGGAACACCGGUGGCGAAGGCGGAUCUCUGGGCCAUUACUGACGCUAAGACGAAAACGUGGGGGGAAA